rnacentral:rRNA from 1 species
UACCAGACUCCUACGGGAGGCAGCAGUGGGGAAUAUUGCACAAUGGGGGAAACCCUGAUGCAGCGACGCCGCGUGAGCGAUGAAGUAUUUCGGUAUGUAAAGCUCUAUCAGCAGGGAAGAAAAUGACGGUACCUGACUAAGAAGCCCCGGCUAACUACGUGCCAGCAGCCGCAGUAAUACGUAGGGGGCAAGCGUUAUCCGGAUUUACUGGGUGUAAAGGGAGCGUAGACGGCAUGGCAAGUCAGAUGUGAAAGCCCGGGGCUCAACCCCGGGACUGCAUUUGAAACUGUCAGGCUGGAGUGCAGGAGAGGUAAGUGGAAUUCCUAGUGUAGCGGUGAAAUGCGUAGAUAUUAGGAGGAACACCAGUGGCGAAGGCGGCUUACUGGACUGUAACUGACGUUGAGGCUCGAAAGCGUGGGGAGCAAACAGGAUUAGAUACCCGGGUAGUA